rnacentral:rRNA from 1 species
UUUAUGGAGAGUUUGAUCCUGGCUCAGGAUGAACGCUGGCGGCGUGCCUAAUACAUGCAAGUCGAGCGAACGGAUGAGAAGCUUGCUUCUCUGAUGUUAGCGGCGGACGGGUGAGUAACACGUGGAUAACCUACCUAUAAGACUGGGAUAACUUCGGGAAACCGGAGCUAAUACCGGAUAAUAUUUUGAGCCGCAUGGUUCAAAAGUGAAAGACGGUCUUGCUGUCACUU